UUUUGCCAUCCAGUUUUUUAUUGUAGCUUCAGCAUAUAGAAGAGAAAAGUGUCUUUUUUGAACUAGUCUUACUAAAACAAGAUGCAUAAUAAGGAAAUCCAACAUUUUGGUCAAAUUAACGUGGCGAUGCCUUAACCUUCGACUUCUUCUGACUGCUGAGUUUCUCAAUGUAAUUAAGCAUGAUGAUAACUCUAAAAAUGUUGAAGUGUUAAGUUAUCGGCAAAAAGAGACCGUCAAAAGCUGACAUCCAGAUUAAUCUCCAACAUGAAGCAAAGUUCGUAACACAUUUGUUUCCUCGGAUCCGUUGACUCAUCUUGUGCCUCAAGAGGGACCUCUUUUGCUUCAUGUUUAAGCUCCGAUUUUAAUCCUUUUAAUCCGCCCCC